AUAAAGCACCUUUGUCAAAGAGUCUGUUACUAGUCCCAAGUGCCAUCUCGAUUCUAUUGACUCUGCUCUUCCAACAUUAUCAGAAGUUCUUUGCAUAUAACCUACAAGCUAUAAAAGAGGAUUUUCAGAUUUGGAGACUUGUAUGUGGGAGAACAGUAUGUCUUGAUCUGAAGGACACAUUCUGCAGCAGUCUGCUCAUUUACAACUUUAGAAUAUUUGAAAGAAGAUAUGGCAGCAGAAAAUUUUCAUCCUUUUUACUGGGUGCUUGGAUGCUCUCAGCUUUGUUUGAUCUUCUCCUUGUAGAAAUUGCUGAGUAUAUAUUUGGCAUCACCAUCAACAGCUUGCCUUCUGGUUU